UAUUUCAGCCAGCACAGGUGUUGCUCUUUCUUCAUAUAAAAAAGAUCAAGGAUCCGAACUUAUCUGAAAAGCUAAAGAGGUACCAAGUGUCCCCAUUAGAAUGGUGGGCUUUUCAGCAAUUGUUGCAUACGGAUUACAUGAGUUGAAGAGCAAGGGAAAUACUAAAAUGUCCAUUCAUGAUCCACAUGUGUGUAGCAGCCCAAGGCUUUGUUGUGGGAGCAGUGGCUCUUGUUGUGGGCUAUUCCAUGUUUCAGGAAUUCUGGUUGAAACCUAA
rnacentral:lncRNA from 1 species